rnacentral:rRNA from 1 species
CGAUAUCGACGAGUUUCAUCCUGGCUCAGAACGAACGCUGGCGGCAGGCCUAACACAUGCAAGUCGAGCGAACCCUUCGGGGUUAGCGGCGGACGGGUUAGUAACGCGUGGGAAUAUACCCUUUGGUACGGAAUAGCCUCGGGAAACUGAGAGUAAUACCGUAUGUGCCCUUCGGGGGAAAGAUUUAUCGCCAAAGGAUUAGCCCGCGUUGGAUUAGAUAGUUGGUGGGGUAAUGGCCUACCAAGUCUACGAUCCAUAGCUGGUUUGAGAGGAUGAUCAGCAACACUGGGACUGAGACACGGCCCAGACUCCUACGGGAGGCAGCAGUGGGGAAUCUUAGACAAUGGGCGCAAGCCUGAUCUAGCCAUGCCGCGUGGACGAUGAAGGCCUUAGGGUUGUAAAGUCCUUUCAGAUGGGAAGAUAAUGACGGUACCAUCAGAAGAAGCCCCGGCUAACUCCGUG